GUCACCUCUAAGUCACAGCUGGAGUAAUCCCUUCCAUUUUGAGCAGGCUUUCAGUGCAGGGAGGCACUUCUUCUCCUCUUAUCAUCUGUUCCUCUUCUUUCUGAGAUCCAGGGAAAAAGGCAUGCUGUGGGCUCUAGCCCUACUUCUAGCCAUCCUGCUUCCUGGCAGUCAAACAUCUUCCAGUUUGGAAGGGAGAAUGAUGUCAGUAACAAGUUCACCUGGGUCAUAUGUGUCAAUCUCUUGUGAUUUUGCAAGUACCUACAUCCACUGGUAUCAAUUCAAGAAAGGACAGGCCCCACAACGCCUACUCUACUAUGAUUUUGUGAAUUUCAAGUUUGUGCGGGACUCAGGAAUCAGUUUGUUAAAAUAUGGUGCACAUAGAGGUGCAGAUGGGAGAUGUGAAUUUGCAGUACGAAAUGUGGAAGAAAGUGACUCUGCUGUAUAUUACUGUGCCUACUGGAAUAGCACAGUGGUUCAGACCUGUCUUUAUCUAUACAUUUGA